rnacentral:lncRNA from 1 species
AGAGUUUGUGACUUCAUCUACUUGAGUAUUCCAUCUGCUUCAAGUGACCAUCCUCUGCCUUAGAAGGGAUUUGGGGGAUUGCUUGGCCAAAAGACUCCACAGCUCUGUGUUUGCUGGCUGAAGAAGAGCAGAGCUGCCUGCUUGCCAACCCAGAGGCUGGCUGGUUGACAACUUGGUAACCUGUGUGAUUAGAGAACAUGCAUGGAAGACACAUCAGGAACUCAUGUGGCCAGGGCACAUACAUAUGGACAAGUAUGUCCAAGGCACAUUCACGGCUAGUAUAACACACAUCUUGUAUGAGGUGACUGAAUAAAUACUACGUUGGCUAUAGAAUCAGGAAGAUCUGAGCUCAACUCUUGUUUUAGACAGCAUAACUUGUGCCAUUCUGGGCAGGUGACUUUACCAGUUUGUGACUUUGUUUCCUCAUUUGUUAAAUAAGUGGCCUCAAUUCCCCUGGCCUCUAAGAUCGCUGUUGGCUCUAAAUCUUAGACCAGAAGAUCAGUGAGAUUCUUGCCCUCAAUGAGGUUUAAUAAAUGUUUGUAGGACUGAACUGAAUUUCA